CAGCCGCCGCGGUAAUACGGAGGGUGCAAGCGUUAAUCGGAAUUACUGGGCGUAAAGCGCACGCAGGCGGUCUGUCAAGUCAGAUGUGAAAUCCCCGGGCUUAACCUGGGAACUGCAUUUGAAACUGGCAGGCUAGAGUCUUGUAGAGGGGGGUAGAAUUCCAGGUGUAGCGGUGAAAUGCGUAGAGAUCUGGAGGAAUACCGGUGGCGAAGGCGGCCCCCUGGACAAAGACUGACGCUCAGGUGCGAAAGCGUGGGGAGCAAACAGGAUUAGAUACCCCUGUAGUCCCUGUCUCUUAUAU
rnacentral:rRNA from 1 species